UACGGAGGGGGCUAGCGUUGUUCGGAAUUACUGGGCGUAAAGGGCGCGUAGGCGGUUUGGCAAGGCAGGUGUGAAAGCCCGGGGCUCAACUCCGGAGGUGCGCCUGCGACUGCUAGACUCGAGGACGAGAGAGGGCGGUGGAAUUCCCAGUGUAGAGGUGAAAUUCGUAGAUAUUGGGAAGAACACCAGUGGCGAAGGCGGCCGCCUGGCUCGUAUCUGACGCUGAGGCGCGAAAGCGUGGGGAGCAAACAGG
rnacentral:rRNA from 1 species